UGGGUAACCUGCCUCAAAGAGGGGAAUAGCCUCCCGAAAGGGAGAUUAAUACCGCAUAAUAUGUUUAAGUCGCAUGACUUUAACAUCAAAGGAUUUUCUUUUAAGAAAUUCCACUUUGAGAUGGACCCGCGGCGCAUUAGCUAGUUGGUGAGGUAACGGCUCACCAAGGCAACGAUGCGUAGCCGACCUGAGAGGGUGAUCGGCCACAUUGGAACUGAGACACGGUCCAGACUCCUAGGGAGG
rnacentral:rRNA from 1 species